rnacentral:rRNA from 1 species
GAUGAAUGCUGGCGGCGUGCCUAACACAUGCAAGUCGAGCGGCAGCGCGGGGUGCUUGCACCCUGUCGGCGAGCGGCGAACGGCUGAGUAACGCGUAGGAAUUUGCCCCAAAGUGAGGAAUAACUGCCCGAAAGGGUAGCUAAUGCCGCAUAUGGUCUUCGGAUUAAAGGAUUUAUCCGCUUUGGGAGAAGCCUGCGUUGGAUUAGGUUGUUGGUAGGGUAAUGGCCUACCAAGCCGACGAUCCAUAGCUGGUCUGAGAGGAUGAUCAGCCAGACUGGAACUGAGACACGGUCCAGACUCCUACGGGAGGCAGCAGUGAGGAAUCUUCCACAAUGGGCGAAAGCCUGAUGGAGCAACGCCGCGUGAAGGAUGAAGGCCUUCGGGUUGUAAACUUCUUUUAUGAGUGAAGAAUAUGACGGUAACUCGUGAAUAAGCACCGGCUAACUACGUG